GGGGCGGUGGCCGAGCGGUCGAAGGCGCUUGAUUUGAAAUCAAGAGUGCGCUGCACCGGGGGUUCGAAUCCCUCCCGCCUCA
rnacentral:tRNA from 1 species